GAUGACAGAGCAGAGAUUGGAGCAAUGUUCUCUGAAAACGGAGGAAGGGACCACAAGCCAAGGAAUACUGAUAGCCACUAGAAGCUGAAAAAGGCAAGGAGACACCAGGAGGAGCCAACCCUGCCAACACCUCGACUUUAGCCCCUUGAGACGAUUUCAGACUUUGGACCUCCAGAACUGACUGGGAGCCCCUUAGAAGCAGAGUCACGGCCUGGUCAACCUCGGAUGCUCAGCGCCCAGCACAGGGGGAUGGAGCUGUGGACACACCUUCCCUCCUCAUAGCCUCCACGCAACCACCUGACCAGGCGGGCCUCAGAUCACCCAUCUGAAG
rnacentral:lncRNA from 1 species